GCCUUCGUGGUGUAGUGGUCAGCACGCUCGACGCGUAACCGAGAGAUCCAUGGUUCGAUUCCCGGCGAAGGCG
rnacentral:tRNA from 1 species